AUUGAACGCUGGCGGCAGGCCUAACACAUGCAAGUCGAACGAGUGGAUGACGGGUGAGUAAUGUCUGGACAACUGCCUGAUGUAGGGAGAUAACUACUGGAAACGGUAGCUAAUACCGCCUACCAUCGGAUGUGCCCCGAUGGGAUUGGCUAGUAGGUGGGGUAAAGGCUCACCUAGGCGACGAUGCCUAGCUGGUCUGCGAGGAUGACCAGCCACACUGGAACUGAGACACGGUCCAGACUCCUACGGGAGGCAGCAGUGGGGAAUAUUGCACAAUGGGCGCAAGCCUGAUGCAGCCAUGCCGCGUGUAUGAAGAAGGCCUUCGGGUUGUAAAGUACUUUCAGCGGGGAGGCGUUACCCGCAGAAGAAGCACCGGCUAACUCCGUGCCAGCAGCCGCGGUAAUUC
rnacentral:rRNA from 1 species